GGUGGCACAGGGGUGGCUGUGGCUCAGUGCAGGUGACACUGAGGUGUCCCAGGUGACACCCAGGUGACACAGGGGUGGCUGUAGCUCAGUGCAGGUGACACACAGGUGACACUGAGGUGACACUGAGGUG